GGGGAAUAUUGCACAAUGGGCGCAAGCCUGAUGCAGCCAUGCCGCGUGUGUGAAGAAGGCCUUCGGGUUGUAAAGCACUUUCAGCGGGGAGGAAGGCGGUGUGGUUAAUAACCUCAUCGAUUGACGUUACCCGCAGAAGAAGCACCGGCUAACUCCGUGCCAGCAGCCGCGGUAAUACGGAGGGUGCAAGCGUUAAUCGGAAUUACUGGGCGUAAAGCGCACGCAGGCGGUCUGUCAAGUCGGAUGUGAAAUCCCCGGGCUCAACCUGGGAACUGCAUUCGAAACUGGCAGGCUAGAGUCUUGUAGAGGGGGGUAGAAUUCCAGGUGUAGCGGUGAAAUGCGUAGAGAUCCGGAGGAAUACCGGUGGCGAAGGCGGCCCCCUGGACAAAGACUGACGCUCAGGUGCGAAAGCGUGGGGAGCAAAC
rnacentral:rRNA from 1 species